GCUGAAGCGCGUGUGCGUCAGACGACGUCGACGCGAUUCGAACACACGAACCGGGAAAAGAACGGUCCUCCGUUUAUAGAUCGACCGAGUCCAGGACAACAGGACUAUAAUUCGCGGACAGGGGUUACAUUUUAUUUCCGCUUACCGGUCGUUUUUUCUCUCCCGACAACGUAAUCUGUCCAAAGAGAAGACCGCGAGAGAGGAUUCCUCAUUCUGGGCGUUCUUGUCCUUGAUCUUCUCGAGCAAAAGCUAUAUCUCGGGUUUCAGAAGGAGCCGCUCAAAAUGCAACCCGCCAGAGACGGAACUUUCUACGAAAGGGAUAGAGCGAGUGUUGGCCGCAUCGUGGAACCAAGGUCGUAACUGGCGAUGGUAUCUCGAUGACUGUGGGUGGUCUAUAAGACUCGGCUUACCGUUCGUUUCUCGUGCGACAAACAUUCCA